rnacentral:rRNA from 1 species
UACGGAGGAGGCAAGCGUUAUCCGGAAUUAUUGGGCGUAAAGAGCUCGUAGGCGGUUUGUCACGUCGGGAGUGAAAACUCGGGGCUUAACCCCGAGCCUGCUUCCGAUACGGGCUGACUAGAGGUAUGCAGGGGAGAACGGAAUUCCUGGUGUAGCGGUGAAAUGCGCAGAUAUCGGGAGGAACACCGGUGGCGAAGGCGGUUCUCUGGGCCUUACCUGACGCUGAGGAGCGAAAGCGUGGGGAGCGAACAGG